ensembl:snRNA
GUGCUGUAUGAAAGGUUGGCAUCACUGUCAAGCCACGGAAGAGGCCCUGGGACCUAACAGCACACAUACAGUUAAGGCUUUGCCGCCUGUCAUGUGCUUUGCAGAGCCAGUGCCUUUGUGGGUAGCUUGUUCCUUUU